UAUGCAUACUUCUACGACUACAGUAGUCAUCAUGCUAGAGGCAGAUGAAGUUGAAGUAGUGAUUGAUCCGAAGGACAUUGAACUGACUACUGCAAGAUCUGGGGGCGCAGGAGGGCGAAAUGUCAACAAGGUGGAGACAGCAAUUGAUCUUUCCCCAAGCCGACAGGAAACCACAUUUUUUGCACUGAAGAAAGGACUCAACUUGAGAAUAAGAUUCGGGCUUUUCUAUUGCUA